rnacentral:rRNA from 1 species
CACGUAGGCAGCAAGCGUUGUUCGGAAUUACUGGGCGUAAAGAGUGUGUAGGCGGUGCUCUAAGUUUGGUGUGAAAUCUCCCGGCUCAACUGGGAGGGUGCGCCGAAAACUGGAAUGCUUGAACGUGGGAGAGGAAAGCGGAAUUCCUGGUGUAGCGGUGAAAUGCGUAGAUAUCAGGAGGAACACCUGCGGUGUAGACGGCUUUCUGGACCAUUGUUGACGCUGAGACACGAAAGCGUGGGUAGCAAACAGG